CCGCCGUGACCGGCCUCGUCACUUAGAAGGAGAAAGGGCAAAAGGGCUGAUCGGAACACUCUUUUAACACUUAACAAUUUGAGGCAGGAGCCUGUAAGCAGAGGCGAACUGCGAGAAUUCGCUGCUGUUUAAAGAGCAGGGCAAAGUUGCCAAGAAACUCACUACAACGUGGCUGUUUACUCCCGGCGAAUGGGCCCCAAAGAAAAUAUGACCGGACCAGGUGUCCCGGCGCGAUCCGCAAAGCCGCUCCUGGCGACUCUCUUCUCAGGCGAGUCCGAACCGGGCGGGAGGAGCGGGCAGACUAUCAGAAAAGUUAUUUCGAGAUUCAGCCAAAUGUUCUGACUGGGGGACCGAAAACGGGACGAGGCGUUUCCUGCGGUAACGCUCUGGCCCGCAGCGGGGCCCAGCGCCGAGCGCGCCGCAGUCGCGCGCUCCCCGCCCAGGGCUGUUCGGAAAGGACGCUCACCUCCUCCCUGUAAGAAGCGAGCCCGAGGUCGGCCAGCCGGGGCUGCCCGGGUUCUACGCGGGGCCUGAACUUCAGCCUUCCUCUGGAGGAACGCGCCUCUAGUUUUGCUCUGGAAGGAGAAAUGGGUGCAGUUCUUCCAGAGCUCUCAAGAUUCCAGUCGCCGGACAACCCUGGAAACUCUGGGAAGUUCUAAACUGAGUUUCCCUUGUUCCCUGAGUCCCUUUCCAUCUUCCCUACCAGGCAGGGGCUAAAGGGCUGCUGACCGAGACGGUGCCUUUUCAGAUGAGUUUUUCCUCGUGGACUGGAGAAGCGCCGCCGCCCGCUCCGAAGGCGACUUGCCGACCUCAGCGCCCUGGGCUCGCGCGGCGCACCGCCCGCCCCUCGGCGCCCGCCCAGCCCCGCUCGCGGAGAGAGCCCGAGGGGGAGUAUCUUCUCCGCGGGCCAGAGCUCGGUGCCAGGGCGCUCUCCUGACAUAACCCUGCUCAGGGGGGCAAGACGUGCACGAACCACGGCUUGGCUCUCCAGCUGCCGGUCCCGUCCCCACUACUGCCGGCAACUGCCUUGGACCUAGCCCCCAAGAGCAACAACUCUCGCCUCCUCACACCUCCCCUUGGUCCCCGCUUUCCCAGCCUUUUCCGGGAUCCCACACCCCCACCGCGCUUCUCCCGCCCGUCGGGGCCGAACCCUGGCUCCGCUCCUCACCCGCAUUCGGCAGCGCCAUUUUAACCCCUUAGACGCUUCCGCUGCUGGGGCGGGGGGAGAGGAGAUCCUUCCUCCCACCUCACCCCACCCCACCCCGCCCCACCCAGCCCGGGUCCUCGCCCAAAGCAGCCUGGAGGGGGAUUAUGAAACCACCCGGAGGUGGGCGGGAGUGGGGAACAGGCUACCUCCGGACUCUCGAAACUUUGGCAAAGUCUCGGGAACACUUGUGUUCCCCCAGGACAGUUUUCUACGCCUCGCGGCGGGCGCGGGGUAUCCGAGUUUCUUGGCACUAACUGCGAAGAUCCUCUCCCUUUCUCCAGCCCCUUUAAGGACAUCUGAUCUUCAGUCUCCAGCUUUCUCCUCUGGUCUAAAAGCUUCGUCAGCCGCGGAGAGCGACCCCAGGCGAGACCGGGAAGGGAGAGCGCUGGUGUGAGGUUAACCCAAACCAGGGCGCCCGGAGGUUGGCUGAGGCCCUGCGGGUCGAGGCCCGCGCGCUCUUUGCAGGAGGGAGCCCCCGGGGAUCCGCGCGGGACAUGUUGCCGCGCCUGAAACAGGCGUUCCCUUUUCCAGAUCAUAUUCCCCAUAAAAUCUAAAGCCAGAUGCAUCGCUUGGGCAAGUUCCCAUUUCACCGCGAAAAGCACAGAUUUGUUUCCAAACUGGACUCUAAAUCGAGGUUUCUGGUGCGGGUUCCAGCAGCCUGCGCAAGGUUGGGCUUUCGAUGGCUUAAGGGACUGCCCGAGCGGGUAAUGUUUUCGAUAAUCCGGUCUGAACCUAGCCCAGGCAAAGCAUCAUUUGCGAAUGCGGAAUUAAAAAAAAAAAAAAGUAGGAUGCGAAAUAAAGAUAACUAUGGGCUU
rnacentral:lncRNA from 1 species